UACAGAGGGUGCAAGCGUUAAUCGGAAUUACUGGGGCGUAAAGCGUGCGUAGGCGGUUUGUUAAGUCUGCUGUGAAAUCCCCGGGCUCAACCUGGGAAUGGCAGUGGAUACUGGCAAGCUAGAGUGUGAUAGAGGAUGGUGGAAUUCCCGGUGUAGCGGUGAAAUGCGUAGAGAUCGGGAGGAACAUCAGUGGCGAAGGCGGCCAUCUGGAUCAACACUGACGCUGAGGCACGAAAGCGUGGGGGAGUCAA
rnacentral:rRNA from 1 species